rnacentral:rRNA from 1 species
UACAGAGGUCCCAAGCGUUGUUCGGAUUCACUGGGCGUAAAGGGUGCGUAGGUGGCCAGGUAAGUUUGAUGUGAAAGCUCGGAGCUUAACUCCGAAAUGGCAUUGAAUACUAUCUGGCUUGAGGGUCGGAGGGGAGACUGGAAUUCUCGGUGUAGCAGUGAAAUGCGUAGAUAUCGGGAAGAACACCCGUGGCGAAGGCGGUUCUCUGGGACGGUACUGACGCUGAGACGCGAAAGCGUGGGGAGCGAACAGG